GUUGACCUCGAAUCAGGUAGGACUACCCGCUGAACUUAAGCU
rnacentral:rRNA from 1 species